AUUGAACGCUGGCGGCAGGCCUAACACAUGCAAGUCGAACGAGUGGCGGACGGGUGAGUUAUGUCUGGGAAACUGCCUGAUGGAGGGGGAUAACUACUGGAAACGGUAGCUAAUACCGCAUACCAUCGGAUGUGCCCAGAGGGGAUUAGCUAGUAGGUGGGGUAAAGGCUCACCUAGGCGACGAUCGCUAGCUGGUGUGGGAGGAUGACCAGCGGCACUGGAACUGAGUCACGGUCCAGACUCCUACGGGAGUCAGCAGUGGGAGAUAGUGCACAAUGGGCGCAAACCUGAUGCAGCCAAGCCGCGUGUAUGAAGAGGGCCUGCAGGUUGUAAAGUACGGUCAGCGGGGGGGCGUUACCCGCAGAAGAAGCACCGGCUAACUCCGUGCCAGCAGCCGCGGUAAUUC
rnacentral:rRNA from 1 species